rnacentral:rRNA from 1 species
UGACCGCGGCUGCUGGCACGGAGUUAGCCGGGGCUUCUUCUGCUGGUACCGUCAUUAUCUUCCCAGCUGAAAGAGCUUUACAACCCUAAGGCCUUCAUCGCUCACGCGGCAUGGCUAGAUCAGGGUUUCCCCCAUUGUCUAAGAUUCCCCACUGCUGCCUCCCGUAGGAGUCUGGGCCGUGUCUCAGUCCCAGUGUGGCUGAUCAUCCUCUCAAACCAGCUAUGGAUCGUCGGCUUGGUGAGCCGUUACCUCACCAACUACCUAAUCCAACGCGGGCCGAUCCUUCUCCGAUAAAUCUUUCCUCCGAAGAGCGUAUACGGUAUUACCCCCAGUUUCCCGAGACUAUUCCGUAGAGAAGGGCACGUUCCCACGCGUUACUCACCCGUCCGCCGCUCACCCCGAAGGGCGCGCUCGACUUGCAUGUGUUAGGCCUGCCGCCAGCGUUCGUUCUGAGCCAGGAUCAAACUC